AAAGCUUUAGUUUCUAGACUAUCAGUUUACAGAUGUAUGUUGAAAACGUUUUUUGGGAGAUGCGAUGGAUCAUUCAAUAUUCCUUUUCUUUUGUUUUUCAGUGAAAUCAUCCCAUGUGAAGAGUCAGUCAACUCAUUUAAUUUAAAGUUUUAAAAAUUUCUAUUGGAAGGAUCUAAUCAUCUGCAAUUGUCUACUUAUGACAAGUACUUCAUGAGGCUUCUUCUCUCCAAGCUGAGACCUUGAAACUGAGCGAUCCCUUUUGGUUCCCAACCAAAUCCCAAAGAAGGACCCAAAUUCACAUCGCUUGAACCGUAUGGAGAAUGUGAAAAAGGAGCAAAGUUACUCUUCAUUUAACAUCAAUAAUAGAGAUUAUCUACCACCCUAUGUAAAGCUGGGAUAUAUGAGAGUUGUGUAAAACCCGAUGCAACGCAAGAAAUGUUAAAGGUUUGGCCACGUCAAGUGUUUGCAGACGGAAGGAAUAUGUUAUUGAAGGGUAUGUGAAUGUAAAAUGUUGCAACUGUGGUAGGGGUCAUAUUCCUAGAGUGCCCUGUUAGGGUGAAAGAGGUUGAGGUGUCAAGGAUCAGGGCUGUACAGCAAAUCUCUUAUGUGGAGGUGGUGAAGAAUUAAAGGGGCUAGAGGCCACAACCAGUUGCAAAAGUUGUACCUCAAUCAAGUGAUCUGGAUACAAAUAUUGUGAAGGUGGAUAUUUUAUUAUUUAUAACCACAGUUAUUAAUUGAAUGCACAAGAAGUCCAAGAAGCUGGACAACAUAUCUGCAGCUGAUAAGUUUUUGGGACUACAAGGACUACUGUCACCAGAUAAUGUUCCGCUCUUACAGUAUCCUUCUCAGUCUGUGUAGGGAGCUGAUUAGAACAGAAAGCAGGCUGAUUUAGUUUAUUUUACAUUUCAUUAUUGAUAGUUUGUGAUUAAAAAAAUAAAUACUGUAUACACUGAACAAACAUAUAAACAACAUGUAAAGUGUUGGUCCCAUGUUUCAUGAGGUGAAAUAAAAGAUCCCAGAAAUGUUCCAGACACA